AAGUUUCAAAAAUAAAUUAAUUUAAAAUAAUGUUUAUUAAUUAAUUAUUUAUUUAAUUAAAAGUGGAUUUUAGUGAUUUUUUUUUUUACUUAAUUUAAAAUAAUGUCAUUUAGAAACUAUAGUGAUUUGGGGUACAGACCACGAAGUAGUGCCAGCGUAAGUGGAGUAACAAGAAAUUCAACAAGCACUAGUUCUAGUACCAGUAGUUUAGGUGGUUAUCGACCAAGUUACUCUACGAGUCUUGGAUCUGCUCGAGUAUCAGCAGCUUCUUCAAAAGACAGGGCAAUUACUUCGUCUUCGGGUUAUAGAAAUUCUGGAUUAUUGAAACGGACUGAUGAUAAAUCCUAUAAGCUUCCAAAUAAAAAUGAAAAAAGUCUAGGAACGACACUGCUAGAAAAGUAUUCUUAUCCCGUAACAAAAACAAGUCCACGUAUAUCAUCAGUGCUUGAGAAAUAUGGGGAGCGUGUUGGUGACAAGAGUCGUGAAUCUGAGACAGCAUCGUCGCGUUAUGUCAACAGUUCAUAUCGCGGAGCUGGAUUACGUGAAAAUGAACAAGACAAGAGCAGUGAAAAAAAUACCGGAAAUGAUAAUUCUGUAAUAUCUAGACCUUCAUCUACUAAUUCAAAUUCUCAAAGGACUAAUGCAACUUUGCCAAGAAGUUUCACUUCAACUUCAACUCGUGAACCGAGUCCUGACACUUGCCUCCAAAGGACAAAGCCAACCUCGUUUAAAAUUCAAGGCAGAAUUUCAAAUUAUGGACAAACUGGAACUUCCUCUGAAACACCAGUAACUUGCAAGUUUACCAACUCCUCGAGGCUUGCUUCCUCAACGACGAGUCAUAAUGGAGCUGAGAGAACUGGAAUACCCAUAGGCCACCCCCAUCCUGCUGCCAGUACUCCGCCUUCACCUUCUCCUGGUACUUGUACUUCUACAACAACAACUACUCCAGCUGAUAGACUGUUGUCUUCAUCAUCAACCAUGAAAACUAUUACUCCAGUACUUGAUCCCGACGGAGAACGCAGCAACAAAGCCAUUGAAUCGGCAAAUAUCCUGCAGUCAAACUCCGUUGACGUUAAAAAUGUAAUUGAAGCCAAAGGUAAAGAUAAAGAUAAAGAUAAAAAUGAAAAUGGAGAUAGAGAUGAUGAUGAUGGGGGUGAAGUUGAGCGGAAUAGAGCUAAAACAAAUAGUAAUAUACGUAAUGCGGAUGAUACACAAGAGACUGGAGAAGAAGAUACUGUCAAGCUAGUUACUGUCACUGUCGUGUCACGAGGGACGUCCCCAGGUCCCGCGGGACCCGCGACGUUUAUCCGCUCGAGAAGAGUCGACGUUGCCCGCACAAUACAGAAAGAAAUAACUCGUAUUAUUAGAAAAAACCAAGAAACCAAAGACGUUGGCAUGCAGAGCGAUCGUAUGGAUGACACUGCCAGAUAUUCCCGUUACGCAAGCACAAGAUCGUCGCCUUGGUCUUCAACCGGCUCGUCGUCAUACCUCGACAAAUUUUCAUCUUCAGGUUCUUAUUCGAGAACUUAUGACUCAAGUGGUAGCAGAGUCAGCAAUUUCGGGUACAGACAACCGGCUGUUACAGAACCCUCUUCUUCACCUUCUUCUUUACCUCAUUCUUCAGCUCCAACUCCUACUCAUACUCCUACUCCUACUCCUACUCCUCCACCUUCGUCGUCUUUUUCUCCUUCGACAUCUCGACAAAAUGAAGCUCAUUGUAAAAAUACAAAUGGUAAAUCUGACGUCGACAUAAAAGAAACUCAAGCUAAAGUUAAUUCUUUAUCUAGCAAAAUAUCACCGAGUCCUCCCUCGGCUGCAUCACCAGCAGUAACACCAUCAGACUGUACAAAGUGUAAUUUAUCACAUAACGAACUAGAAAAUGAAAUAUCAACGUCAGAAAAAAUAAAAUUAUCUCAGGAAAAAGAGCAAGCGCGCGAGAUACUAAAACGUGAAAACUCUGUUAGUUCCGCAGCUUCCUCCCCCUCUUCAUCGCGACGACAGUCGCUGUCGCGUCAAGAUGCUAUUAUGACACCCAAGUCUAUAUCGCGUAAUGGCUCAGCGAAGAGCUUUAAACAUCAACAACAACAACAACAACACCAACAUCAGCAGCAACGUCAAAUGACAUCGCCAGGAGUAAAAUCCGACUCGGAUAGCGGGACUGUCAGUUUGCCAACUGGCAAAUCCAAGUCUGCAUCAGCUAGCUCUCUGACGAGUCAUAAUGCAAAAAUAAGAGCUCCCUCAGUGACGCACUCGCACUCGCACUCACAUUCGCAGUCGCAAAAAUCAACUUCUACCGAUGCGGUUACGUCGUCAUCCGCGGUAGCAACCAACUCGCGAAGUGGUUCUGCUAACGCACGUGGUAAGCCUCCAGUUCCCAAGAGUAGUGACAGUGGCAGUAUGAAGAGUUCGACAAAAUAUAUAAACAAGGAUUUCCGUAAAUCGGCGCUCAAUAUGCCGGAUGCAAGUGACAGAAAUAAAUUAAAUCGCAAGAGAACAAAAAGUUCACGCAGCGGCUCGGUCAGUUCUCAAGAUGACGCUAAAAAUAAUAAUUGUAGUAAUGGAAAUGAAACAAGUGGUUCGAGUGGUGCUAAAACAAGUCACAUACCUCGGAUCAGUGGGGGUAAUUUGAAAAACGGGUCCAGCAGCCCGUGCCCGACGUUACCGUGUCUUGUUAUUUAUAAUAAAUUACGAAGUAAUUCAGAGUCUCCUGUGAGACGCAAAGCCAGUGUCUCUUCUUCACGAACUAGUGCAGCCUCUGAUUCUUCUUCAAGUUCGUCUUCUUCCUCCUCCUCUUCGUCUUCCUCAUCCUCAUCCUCGAGCAGUGACGAAGAUCGAGUGAGAUCAGAACCAAAUCGAAGGAGCCGUAGAAGCAAGACCUCGACCUCAAGCUCUCGACACGAUAGACGUGAAAAAAAUAACGGCAGUAAAGUUGUCAGUGCAAGCUCCUCUAGGACAAGUGUAUUGGCUUUGUCUACUGAUGAAUUGUCUCUGGGUAUGGACAAACCGCGAGCCGCGUCCUCCUGUGGUAGCGCCAGAAGUGAAAAAUUAAAGAGCGACGAGGCGAAAGCUUUUCUUAUUCGUACAUUGACGCCGGUUACCAAUUUAUUUAAACCCAAAGACGAGGACACUACCAGGUCUGACAGUUGCUGGAGUAAAAAAGACACCGGGUCACGGAGACGAUCGAUACGUUCCUCUUCAGUGUCAAAUCCCGUUUCACAAAACCUUACUAUCAGUACCAGUUUAAAUUUAUCUGAAAGUAAUAAUAAUAAUAAUAAUAAUGAUAAUGAUAAUAAUAACAGUAACAGUUGUGGUGGAAGAGAAAAUGAGACAUUGAAAAGACAAUAUUCUGGAGAAAAACCCUGGUGGAUGGACGCAAACUCAGACAAUGUACCUGAGGGGAUAGAACGUGUCAGUGUCUGCCAAGAUGAAAUAAGUCAGGAGACAACUGUCAGCACUAAUUUGCCUGAUGAUGGUAAAUAUAAAGCGUGGAAGGACUCCGAGGACAGCUGGUGGAUAAAUCAAGAGGAGGCGCCCGCAAAAAAAGAGUCAUCGAGUUCGUCCUCGAGAAAAGGGAGCAAAACAAAGUCCAGCAGCGGAGCGACUGAACGUAAAAAUCGUCUCAAGCAUCAGCAGUCCGGGGAACGCGCCUGGUGGCUGAGCGAAGAUCCGAGUGAAGUACCCGAAGGCAUUGAAGUUCACCCUGUUGGCGAUGGUUCCCCGAGAUCGGGCUCACCUCUGACAGUGAACGUGAGCAAUGGCCAGGACUCGGGGAGCGAAACUCUGCCGCUGAGUGUCAAUAAGAUAAGACACAUUGAGUCGGGAGAGGCUGCUUGGUGGAUGGACAGUAACUCAAAUAUUCCCGAGGGUAUACAGAGAAUAAAUAUUGAGAACGAGUCGAGCAAUUCCGAGGAUUUGUCUGGUUCGUAUGAGAAACUUGAAAUACUCGGUGGCAGAUCGAUUGCCAGUACUGGGGGUUGCAAACCUUCAAAGGGACAUACCGGACACCAAGGGCAUGAAGGACACACCGAGUCGCCGAUGGGUAUUGAAUUUACGACGUCAAUGUCAGAGGAGUUGCCUCUCGGCGAUCGGAUAAGUCCAGAAGGGGUAGAGAAUCCAUCAACCGUCGAAUGCUACCGGACAUCAAGUUAUGACAACAUCCAGCCCAUAAACAUGCAUCAUACUCACGUGCAUCGCAAAUCAUCGUCGCGUAAGCGACCAUCGACAUUGCCUUUGUUCAUCGGCGGAGUUACCAAUAUCGAUGACAUUCUGGGUGAACCAGCUGCUUACAACACUUCUGUGAUAUCACGCGUAUACAAACAGGAAGCUAGAGUUGGUGGAGAAACUUCGGACGAGAGCUCGGAAUGUGAAGAGAUAGAUGUGGCCGAAGUUAUAAUCCACGACAGCACGCCGAAAACUCCGGUAAUUCAACGACGAGUAAGAGAUAAAGAGAGACCACAGCCAGACGGUUAUAUCCCGUUGGACGAUACGGCAUUACAACUUUACAAAGAUGGCGACUAUGGAGCUUACCUCGAUCUGGAAGCGUCUAUUAGCGAACAACAAGAAGAGUUCGAAGGCUUUCAGACAAAUCGUAAAAAUUCGAUCGUCCUCAGAACGCAGUUAUCAGUACGAGUACAUACAAUAAUUGAGAAAUUGUUGAACAGCGAAGGCCGUGAACUGAGACGUGCACUCUUCUCUCUCAAGCAGAUCUUUCAGGAGGAUAAAGAUCUAGUGCACGAGUUUGUACAAAAUGACGGACUGGCAUGUCUCAUCAAGGUCGGCAACGAAGCAGACCAGAAUUACCAGAAUUAUAUACUCCGAGCAUUGGGUCAAGUGAUGCUGUACGUUGACGGAAUGAAUGGAGUGAUGGAGCAUGGUCAAACAGUACAAUGGCUUUACACCCUAAUAGCUAGCAGAUUUAGGCUGGUGGUUAAGACAGCGCUCAAAUUGCUCCUCGUCUUUGUGGAGUACGUCGAAACCAACAGCCUUCUAUUGGUGAGAGCUGUCAGAUCAGUGGAUACCUCGCGCGGCAUGAUACCCUGGACCAAUGUGAUGAAACUCCUCAAGGACUACGACGCAGCAGACACGGAGCUACUCAUUUACGCGACGACACUCGUUAACAAGUGCCUCAAUGGGAUACCCGACCAGGACACAUAUUACGACCAGGUUGACUGUCUCGAGGAGCAGGGAAUCGAGGGCAUUAUUCAACGUUACAUGUCCAAGCAGGGGACGGAUCUCGAUCUUUUAAGGCAGUUUCAAAUUUACGAAGCUGUUCUCCAUCACGAGGACGGAAACGAUCGUGGCUCGCCUAUUCGACAACUCGACGAUAACAUCAGAAAGACACUGCGGAGCAGAAAAUCUCUUGUAGAUUCACAUGAACGACGUAAAUCACGGAGACAUUCAACGGGCACUUCGCCACUCUCAAUGUCCUUAAAUUCACGUUUAAGUCCCCGUCUAAAUCACUCGCUGGGGUUGAAUUCGCUUAAUGGAACAUUCAAUUCCGGGAUACCGACGGCAGUUGACGAUGACGAUGAAUCGAGUAGUUCGCAGAGCUCACAGGGGCUUGAUGUCCAGCUUAACGGUAGUUACAAAGAAAAUAAAGACGAUGCUGGAGUAACACCGGCACUUAGACGGAGACGUGAAAGAGCCGAGAGGCAACGGAGUUUCAUUAGAGAGCAACAGGAGGCUACGGCAAAUAUGAGGGCAUCUAUUGGAAAUCUGGACGGUUCUGAAGCUCCCGCGUACGUAUCGAAUGGUCUGCGAUACACAAACGGCUCCUCGGCUUACGACCGGAACAACGAUUCCCCCAGCAAUAAAGUACCACGAGCAAACAGCCGCAAGGAUCUUACACCCUUGAUGAACGCCGCUAACAAGCUUGAUUCCGAGGAAAAGAAACCACUACCGCCACAAACGCCUUCUCCGGUAGUAUGGUACGGGAAAAACCCGGAUGAAAGUACUGGUAGUAUCGAGUGCAACGAGCUGCUCAAUCACACCACCAAUGAAGAUGAGGAUCGUCGGGUUCUUGUACAAAUUAAACGCGAGGGUACUGUUAAGGAUCUGACACAGAAACUCGCUGCGCAGAAUUUAAUACCCAGCAGCCCUGUCGAGGAUAAAGUCUCGAGAAUAGGUGACAUGAGUGGACUGAUAUCAAAAGCUAAAGAAGGAUUGGCGAAAUCAAAAUCAAAAGCAGACAUUGUAAAAUCACCAACCGGCGACAACUUACCAAAAAUAAACGAAGUUAAGAAAUCAGAAAACGAAUUGCACUGGGAAGAGUUGGUAAACCAGAUGAAGCGACCCUUAACGUUGUGUGAUCUCGACUUCACCGAUCUCAAUUCCGAGGACGAAAUAGACGUGCUGGGGCCGGUCAGCGUAAGCAACGGUGUUCCGCCACCUCCGCCGCCAAUGGUUCCGUCGACAAACUCAUCGAAUGGAAUCGGACGUGCUCCUCCUCCACCCCCGCCAGCCAACAACGUGGGUAAAUUCCCACCGCCCUUUCCCAAUGGACCACCACCGCUCUUCGGAGUUAACCUCAAAUCCAACCGAUCACCCACAUCCAGUCCCAUGGAUUCCAACACCAAUUCGAAUACCAACUCUACCAGUAUCACCAAUAAUUCCACCGGCAUUAAAACACACUCGCAAACAGCUAUUACGAAAAAAAAUAAAAAAACCGUAAAACUUUUCUGGAAAGAAGUUAGAGAUGAUCCCAUCAUUCUGUCACGUCUUGAUAAAAACAUUAUGAUAUGGGAUGAGUUGAUUCCCGUUACCAUUGACACCCAGAAACUUGAACAUCUCUUUGAAAGCCGCGCCAAGGAUCUCAUCACAAAGAAACAACAGGAGAUGAACAAAAACAAGGAGAUUAUUGUUCUCGAUCACAAAAGAUCGAAUGCUAUAAAUAUUGGCAUGACUAAAUUACCACCACCACGAUCUAUUAAAACAGCUAUUUUAAAAAUGGACGCUACUAUUAUGAAUCGCGAAGGCAUCGAGAAACUUCUAACGAUGCUGCCAACCGAAGAGGAAAGAUCUAGAAUCCAAGAAGCGCAGGCCGCUAGUCCGGAUCUACCUCUUGGUUCAGCAGAACAGUUUCUACUUACUCUUGCCUCGAUAUCAGAGUUACCAGCAAGAUUGAAGCUUUGGGCUUUCAAACUCGACUUUGAGAACUCCGAGAAGGAAAUAGCAGACCCACUGAUGGAUCUUAAGCAAGGCAUGGAGACGUUGCGGAUGAAUAAAACGUUCCGUGGUAUUCUCAGCACACUGCUAUCAAUCGGGAUAUUCCUGAACGGAAAUGAGGUGAAGGGCUUUCAACUGGAAUAUCUCACCAAAGUACCUGAAGUCAAGGACACCGUACACAAGCACUCUUUGCUCCACCACCUUUGUCAUAUGGUGAUGGAGAAGUUUCCUGAUUCAACGGAUCUUUACUCUGAAAUCGGAGCAGUAACCCGAGCGUCGAAGAUUGAUUUUGACGAGUUGGCGUCAAAUAUCAGCAAGCUUGAGAGUGAAUGCAAAGCCUCUUGGGACCAUCUGAAGCUUAUUGCCAAGCACGAUGGCUCAACAAUGAUGAAAGUAAAAAUGUCAGACUUUUUAGCCGAUUGUGCGGAAAGAAUUAUAGUACUGAGUAUCGUUCAUCGGCGAAUAAUCAAUAGGUUUCACAAAUUUAUUCUCUGGCUUGGUAUUCCCUUGCAUCGUGUCCAAGACACAAAGCCCAAUGAAUUCUCCAGAAUUGUAUCUGAAUUCGCGUUGGAAUACAGAACAACUCGCGAACGUGUUCUACAGCAGCUAGAAAAAAAAGCAAAUCAUCGUGAGAGGAAUAAGACACGGGGUAAAAUGAUAACUGAGGUGGGUAAAUUUCGUACGAAAGAAGAUCGAGCUGACGCCGAACUGAGGCAACUUCUUGGCAGUGAUAUUUCAGACGUUGAAAGUAUUCACGGUACUUUACCUUGGCGAAGACAACGAAAAGAGGGACGCACACUACUGGGCCCUAUCCUGAGAGACGAAACGACCAACGGAAACGUAACGGACGGCGACGACGAGCUGCUCGAGUCAUUGGUGAAGACCGCGACCAAGUGUCCAUCUACGCGGACGACACCGCGGGAACGCAAGAGGACGCGAAACGCCGAUCGUAAGUCUUUGAAACGAUCACGCACCCGCGAGAACAACACUACGUCAAUGGGGUACCGACCCUAAAGAAACACGCGAUAUAUGUAUUUAGUAUAUCUACUGUUUUAUAUUUUCACAACAACGAAAAUAAUAAUUAUUAUUAAUAAAAGUGCGUAGGACCUUGAAGAAUGGACUGUCAGAAGAAGAGAAAAAACAUAUUGCAGCAUACAUCAAGGGCUACUGAUUAAAAUAAUCUUUUUAAAAUAAAAAUAAAAAAAUUACUGUGAUAUAAUUUUUAUGAAUAUUAUUAUUAUAACUGCGCCAUGGUGCCUCAGGCAACGCUAACGAGAUUUAAUAGCCAGCAAACAAACUACUCUUUAAAUUUUUAAAAGAUAUAAUAAUACAUAUAUAUAUUUCGCGUUACUAAUUCCAAAAUUACUAAUAUUUCUAUACGCUCUUUUGACUUGAGUCACUAAGUCUAAAACCAAAAGGGCGUAUAAUUUUUUUUUCAUUGCCAAUCGUUUUGCAGAAUUUUUUAAUACAGUCAGACCUCGUUAUAAGACUCUUACCCUCAAUUUGUCAAAACUCUUUUGGAAACUUCUCGCCCCUACAACUCAAUCAAAACUUCGUGCUGAACGCUAUAAGACUGACGAACACCACAACUAAAACUGAUAUAAAAUAUAUAUAUAUAUAUAUAUAUAUAUAUAAAUAAAAAGUGUUAACCAGGUAAAUAUAUUAAUAAUUGUACUCCUAGUAAAAACAAUUAUUUGAAUCUUUUAUUUAAAUUUAAACUUUGGCCCUCUUGGAAUCUUAAUUCUAAGAAUAUUUUCCCCUAUAGCCUCGACCUAGUCUUAUAACGAGGUCCGGUUGUAACUAAAAAUUAAAAAACAAUUUUUAGCUAUAGAAUAAAUCUACAAUAUGAUCUGCGAUUAAAAAAAAAGUUCUACAUCAUUUUGGUUUUAACUUUAGUAACUACAGCCAAAAGGGGGUAUAAAAAUAUAUGUCCUUUUGGAAUUAGUGACGCAAUAUAUACAUGUAUAUAUAUAACUAGGACAAAGCGACGAGCGAGAUUCUCUCGUUGACGCAACAACUUAACGUUUAUACUACUUAUAAUUUGUACUACUUGUACAACUACUGCUACUACUACUACUACUGCUAUUUGAUGCUACAAUCCCAGCUAUUACUACUUCUGUCUACCGUAAACGUCACUAAAGAUUAUGACGACUUAGCUUAUAAAUUUAAUAUAUAAUUUUAACGAUUUAAUAUUCAAUUUUUAUUUUAUAUCUUUUCAUUAUUAUUUUUUUUUAUUUUUUAAAUUCUCAUUUAAGAUUUUUAUUUUUCAAAUUGAAAUUUUUUUGGUAAUAUUUUAGCUCAUUUAUAGAUUGAUAUUUAGGAAAAAGAGGGGUAAAAUGGGCAGCUUAAACGUUUUUUAAUAUUGGGUAUAAUUUGUUUUUUUAUUAAAAAAAAUAUGAAGCUCUUUUAUUGAAUGCCAUAUGUAAUUUGAUUUUGAUUUCUAUAUAUAUAUGGUUUCAACAUUUAUAUAAUCGAUUGCACCAAAUUGAAUAUUUUUUGUUUGUCUACUGAAGUGACUGUGAUAAAUGGAGAAGAAAUGAAAUCAAGUGUGAGUCCGUUUAUAAUUUUUUUUUUCUGAUCGCAAAAAAAAAAACUUUUCUUAACAAUUAAUCAAAUAAUAGUUCAAAACGGACGUUAAUAUAAAUAUAUAAAUAAUAAAUGUAAUUGCUUAAUUAUUUUAAAAGUGUACUAUGUAAUUACUAUUGAUUUAAUAUAACUAUAAUUAUAAAUAAUAAUUAUUUUUAUUUAAAUUAUUGUACGGAUGUUUAAAUGUUUAACGAGUGAUAAAUAAAUUCAUCUAAU